CGUUUUGCAUAGAAAAAAAGUUUUGUUCGUAAUCCAAAUAGUGUUUUCGUUUAUUUAUAUUGCUACUGGAAAAAAAUAUACUUUGGAAUAGAAGAAAGUUUAUCGGAUAAGUCUGAUUUCUUGAAACAAAGGUGAAUUAUCAUGAAUCCGCAAAAUCUUAAAAACAAUAUGACUCACGUAAUUAUUCAAUUUGUUAAUCAGCAAGAAGGAAGAUUAGUAGACCAGAUAUAGAAAUAUGGAUAAAUUACGAAAUAAAAAUCUUAAAAGAUGCUCAUAGUUUCACUCAAGGUCAAAGGACACUGAAGGAUGCUUAUGAUACAGAGCACAUUGAAAGCAGUAAUCUGGAGGAAAGUAAUUCCGAAACUAAAAGCCGUGAUGUCCAAAACAAGGAGACUUUGCCAAAAAACUAUCUGCUGCUCAGGCUAAAAAUUCAAUGCAGGACAUUCCAGCUUUUGAUGUAAAUUCCAACAAGACAAAAUAAUGAUGAAGAUUAUU